rnacentral:lncRNA from 1 species
AUGCUCAAAAUUCUCCAAGCCAGGCUUCAGCAAUACGUGAACCAUGAACUUCCUGAUGUUCAAGCUGGUUUUAGAAAAGGCAGAGGAACCAGAGAUCAAAUUGCCAACAUCUGCUGGAUCAUGGAAAAAGCAAGAGAGUUCCAGAAAAACAUCUAUUUCUGCUUUAUUGACUAUGCCAAAGCCUUUGAUUGUGUGGAUCACAAUAAACUGUGGAAAAUUCUUCAAGAGAUGGGAAUACCAGACCACUUGACCUGCCUCUCGAGAAAUCUGUAUGCAGGUCAGGAAGCAACAGCUAGAACUGGACAUGGAACAACAGACUGGUUCCAAAUAGGAAAAGGAGAACGUCAAGGCUAUAUAUUGUCACCCUGCUUAUUUAACUUAUAUGCAGAGUACAUCAUGAGAAAUGCUGGACUGGAAGAAGCACAAGCUGGAAUCAAGAUUGCCGAGAGAAAUAUCAGUAACUUCAGAUAUGCAGAUGACACCACCCUUAUGGCAGAAAGUGAAGAGGAGCUAAAAAGCCUCUUGAUGAAAGUGAAAGAGGAGAGUGAAAAAGUUGGCUUAAAGCUCAACAUUCAGAAAACUAAGAUCAUGGCAUCCGGUCCCAUCACUUCAUGGGAAAUAGACGGGGAAACAGUAGAAACAGUGUCAGACUUUAUGUUUUUGGGCUCCAAAAUCACCACAGAUGGUGAUUGCAGCCAUGAAAUUAAAAGAUGCUUACUCAUUGGAAGAAAGGUUAUGACCUACCUAGAUAGCAUAUUCAAAAGCAGGGACAUUACUUUGCCAACAAAGGUCCCUCUAGUCAAGGCUAUGGUUUUUCCAGUGCUCAUGUAUGGAUGUGAGAGUUGGACUGUGAAGAAGGCUGAGCGCAGAAGAAUUGAUGCUUUUGAAGUGUGGUGUUGGAGAAGACUCUUGAGAGUCCCUUGGACUGCAAGGAGAUCCAACCAGUCCAUUCUGAAGGAGAUCAGUCCUGGGAUUUCUUUGGAAGGAAUGAUGCUGAAGCUGAAACUCCAGUACUUUGGUCACCUCAUGCGAAGAGUUGACUCAUUGGAAAAGACUGUGAUGCUGGGAGGGAUUGGGGGCAGUAGGAGAAGGGGACGACCGAGGAUGGGAUGGUUGGAUGGCAUCACGGACUCGAUGGACAUGAGUCUGAGUGAACUCCGGGAGAUGGUGAUGGACAGGGAGGCCUGGUGUGCUGCGAUUCAUGGGGUCGCAAUGAGUUGGACACGACUGAGCGACUGA